GUUUACAGGGAAGAGUACAAGGUAGCAUAAAUGCAGAAAACUAGGGGCAGCAGCUCUGAACACAGGUCCCCCUUUGCAGGUGUGCUCCAUGCUUAGGAUGCAAUUGCACUCCAGCCUCCUCCCUUUUCCAGCCUGCACCAGGAAGUGCUCUUAACUAAUGGAGUCUUGGCAAGCCGGCAAUGAGCUGGGACAACAGGGCUUGCUUCCCCCACCAUGUUUAGCUUGGCUGCUUGGAGCCCCUUGGCUGCCAACUGAAGUCACCGUAGUGCCUCUGAGCUCUGCUACAGAUGAAAUUAAUUCCUCCAGAGCUGAGGGAGCCUGAGCAGGCAGAGGAGCGAGUGCUGGGCUGGUGGAGCAAACUGCUUUGGCAGCAGCUGUUCCAUUUGGGGAACUAAUGAGACUCGAGGAAAAACCUACCGAGGGAUGCCAAGUGCUUGUUUGCUUGUGGAGUUGAUAUAGCCUUGGCCAAAUUGGACAACGAUGCAAAAAUGCCUAUCAUUUUUUUUUCUGUUCAAUUUUGUGGCUCCGUCUUGCAUUUCAGAAGAAGAAGGAUUAAAACCGUGUCCGUCGCCAGGCUACCCCUCAGUUCCAUAAAGAUUCAGAGAAGACAGCCACCUUACAAUGCAGGUAUUCCAAAAGAUCAUCGUCUGGAUUUCCUACUGACUCAUUCAGCACCAAGCCCUGACCUCACCUCCUAAAUGUUUUUUUCAAAAUUGUUUGGUUCUCUGCUGCUUUUUGUAGCCAACGCAUAUCUCUUUACAGCAGAUAUAACGUUUUAAAAGCCGCAAACCCAGGCAAAUGAAAAUCUUGCUUAAAAGGGAAAACCAUAUGCUACCUCUGCAUUAGUGUAUUAAUGCUAAAGUUCAUUUUAAUAAAAUUUUAUAAGGAAAUCUAUCGAAUUGUAACCCAUUUGACCAUAAGCGGAUGCUGUCGUCUCUCAGAUUUCAAAGAAGAUGAAUGCAUGGGUCAAAUUGGAUUAAAAAGUUUAAUUGAAUAAGACAGAACCAGACAGCUUGAUGGAAGACUUUGAUCCGAUAAAGGAAGAGGAGAAAGGCGUGCUCCUAACGCCGGGGUGUGAUGGGGAGCUGUCUGGACCUCGUCUAGCCUCUUCUCAUCUGCAGGAAAAUCAGUUAUGCCAAUUAUGGGUGAGAUUGCCCUGGGGUGGUGUGGGGAAGACUGUUCCGAGGCAUUUUCCAGAUCAUCAUGUCCCGAAACAGGCUGACAGCUUGCCUACCUUCCUGUUCCAUCUCCGCCUCCCGACAAACCCAGUUCUGAGCCUCUGAAACUGAGGGAUCUUGCCUUAGACCUCACAAAACCCCUGUAUCCUGGCCAUAACAGGAACCCUACAAAAGAGAUCUAAAAGAGAGAGAGAGAUUGAGAAAGAGACACACACACCCAUUAAACCAAUGACCUGCAGGGAAGUCCAACCUAUAGACUUGUUUAGUGGACACAGUGUUUUGUUUCCUUCCUAAUUAGGAGAUUUCCCAUUGUAUAAUCCAUAUUUGUGUCUUCUCUUUAAAUCUUGCUAUUCAAAGUGAGGUCCACAGACCAGUAGCAUUGGCACCAACUGGGAGCUUGUCAGAAAUGCAAGAAUCCCGGGGCCCACCCUAGAUGUUCUGAACCACAAUUUGCAUUUUAACAUUGAAGUUUGAAGGGUUUGCUUUAAAGCAGUGGUUCUCACCCACUGUGUGCAUAUCAGAAUCACAUGAAGAGCUUUGAAAAAUCCAGGUGCUAAGCUCACAUGCCAUCUUUGAAUUCAGAAUCUCUGAGAUUGGAACUCAAACUCCCAGGUUAUUCCAAUGGGAGGCCAAAGUUGAAAAUCAAUAGAUUAGGCUGGGUGCUGUGGCUCACGCCUGUAAUCCCAGCACUUUGUGAGGCCAAGGCAGGUGGAUCACAAGGUCAGGAGUUCAAGACCAGUCUGUCCAAGAUGGUGAAACCCCAUCUCUACUAAAAAUACCAAAAAAAAUUAGCCAGACGCAGUGGCAGACACCUGUAAUCCCAGCUACUUGGGAGGCUGAGGCAGGAGAAUUGCUUGAACCCAAGGGGCGGAGGUUGCAAUGAGCCAAGAUCACACCACUGCACUCCAGCCUAGGCGACAGAGUGAGCCUCCGUCUCAAAAAAAAAGAAAAAAGAAAGAAAAUCAGUAGAUUAAAAUCAGAAAAUCUAGGCCAGCUGUGGUGGCUCAUGCCUGUAAUCCCAGGACUUUGGGAGGCUAAGGCAGGAGGAUUGCUUGAGCCCAGGAGUUUGAGACAAGCCUGAGAAACACAGUGAGACCUUCACUUCUACAAAAAAAUAAAUAAAUAAGUAAACAAAAUUAGCCUGGUGUAGUGAUGCACACCUGUGGUCCCAGCUAUUCCAGAGGCUGAGGUGGGAGGAUCACAUGAGCCCAGGAGGUCAAGGCUGCAGUGAGCCGAGAUGGUGCCAUUGCACUCCAACCUGGGUAACAGAGCAAGACUCUGUCCCAAAAAAUAAUAAUAUAAAAAAAUUAGAAUAUCUGACAACACUGGGUUCCUAUUCCAUGUGAUAAAAGUGGCCAGAGCUGAGGAACCGGGCUUCAAUUUCACCUCUUUUCAUGCAUUUUCAUAACCUGCCGGAUGCCACAUGCCUAUGAUCCCUGGUGAAUUUAUAUGCUUGAAGUCCCUGAAGCUCUUCUCCCUGUUGGCCCCUCUCCCCCUCUCCCUACAUUCCCCAUCUCCCCUCCUUCUAGGAGGACCAUUAUCAAGAGGCAAUUUGCAGUUUCUGACUAUUGGGGCUCAGAAAAUAACAUCCCAAAAUAAAGGCCUCAGAAGCAAAAGUUUUUUCUGACCUUCUCCUGCCCUUCUGUCUCUCAGCCUCAUUCUCAGCCAAGGCUAGCCAGAGAAACUAGAAUCCCUCUUCCUCAAGCAGGUCUUUUCCCCAAACCCAGCCAUAACCCUAAAAAUGUUAAUCUAACUUUCCCUCCACCUUUCUGUGUAAAAACUGGCAUAAAGAAAUUCUCUGACCUACCUUGUUUGACAGUAGGUCAUAAGACUCCCAUUCUAGAGAAGAUCCUGCCCCACACCCAGAAGGAAGGAACGAUUCUCAGGGAGGCCAAGGUGAAUCUAGACGGGCCUUGCUAGGGGUCCCCACUCAGUCUAUUAUAAUUCGAUCAUAUCCUUUUUGUCAAGUCAUAUUGUAUUUCUACAUGGCUAUCUAUAUUUUAUUGAACCUAAGCAUAAAAAUGGACAAUUCCCCUGUUCCUUUGGAUCUUCAUUGUGAAGUUUCCUGUGUAUACACAUUAAAUAAAUUUGCAUGCCU
rnacentral:lncRNA from 1 species